GUCAGACUAGUUCUAGUUAGUUGUUUAUGGGAAGCCAUCAAGCCCUCAUGGUAGCUCUGCUAAUCUUAAUUCAUCUGCUACAUUUCAUGUCCUUUCGAAGGCAUUGUUGUUUUACCCUACUUCCAGUCAGCCAUUAAACAAAGUGAAUUUGA